rnacentral:rRNA from 1 species
GACGAACGCUGGCGGCGUGCUUAACACAUGCAAGUCGAACGGAAAGGCCCUGCUUUUGUGGGGUGCUCGAGUGGCGAACGGGUGAGUAACACGUGUGUAACCUGCCCUUGACUUUGGGAUAACUUCAGGAAACUGGGGCUAAUACCGGAUAGGAGCUCCUGCUGCAUGGGGGGGGUUGGAAAGUUUCGGCGGUUGGGGAUGGUCUCGCGGCUUACCAGCUUGUUUGUGGGGUAGGGGUGUACCAAGGCUUUGACGGGUAGGCGGCCUGGGAGGGUGAACGGCCACAUUGGGACUGCGGUACGGCCCAGACUCCUACGGGAGGCAGCAGUGGGGAGUAUGGCGCAAUGGGCGGAAGCCUGAUGCAGCAACGCCGCGUGCGGGAUGACGGCCUUCGGGUUGUAAACCGCUUUCGCCUGUGACGAAGCGUGAGUGACGGUAAUGGGUAAAGAAGCACCGGCUAACUACGUG